CUCUGUGCUCAUGUUCCUACCCUCUCAAAUGCUGUUUGCUGGGUUUUCUUAGGGUCAGAAAGGGGCUCCAGGACCCAAAGGUUUCAAGGUAUGUGUACCCAGAAGGGUCCCUGCUGGGGUCCUGGUCGUGAGACUCCCUGAGCUUGAUCCGAUGCCUCUUUUCCUCAAAGGGUGACCCAGGAGUCGGGGUCCCGGGCUCCCCUGGGCCUCCUGGCCCUCCAGGUGUGAAGGGAGAUCUGGGCCUCCCUGGCCCCCCCGGUGCUCCUGGUGUUGUUGGGUUCCCGGGUCAGACAGGCCCUCGAGGA
rnacentral:sRNA from 1 species